CAAUGGUAGAUUGAGUUGAGUUGUUUGAAGAGUUGCUUAAGAUGUAUUAAGGACUCACCAUGGUUAAGGUAUGUUAAGGCACUUCCCUCUUUCUUUUGGCAUGGUCUAAAGUGAAAUGAAUACACUAUUUCGUAACAGAUCUACUCCUAGAAACUAAGGUUGCCCAUGUUGUUCUUUCCUUAUAAAGUUAUUCUAAGCAAGUAUGUAUGAUCCUUGAAUCCUAUAGAAACUCAUAUUGAUGGUAUGAUUUCCACAAUGUUAAUUGAAGGUGCAACGACCUUAAGUCACUCCAAAAGGUUUAGAACGUGAUUCCAUGAGUUUAACAUGCAUUAUAUAUAAUAUCUAUUUUACUCUACCGAGCCGCACUAUAGUAGGUCGGGUACGAUAUAUAUUGUGUAACCACUGAUCAGUUGGAUUUACCGAGCUUCACAUGGCCGAGUACGAUUCUACCGAGCCUUAUGAUGGCCGGGUACGUUUUUACUUAGUCCUCUUUGAGGUCGGGUACGAUAUGAUGAUGAUGAUGAUGAUGCCUACAGACGCGUAUAUUUUUAAAAGUUUAUGUAUAUAUAUAUGUAUUACGCAUUUCAUGUCAGUAGCCCACAGAGGCACGCAUAUGUUACAGGUUGUAUCUCCUCUAUCUCUCUUUAUAUUACUAUUCUUGUUUAUGCUUUCCUGCUUUACAUACUCGGUACUUUAUUGGUACUGACGUCCCUUUUGCCUGGGGACCUGCGUUUCAUGCCUGCAGGUCCCAAUUGAUAGGUUGACAUUCCUCCUAGUAGGCUAUCAGCUCAGCGGAGGUGUUGGUGCACUCCACUUGCUCCGGAGUUGCCUAUUUGGUCAGUAUGCUUUAGAUAUAUAUUGAUUGACAUGGUAGGGCCCUAUCUCGACCUUUAUGAUUUUAUGUAAUCUUAGAGGCUUGUAGACAUAUGUUAUGUAUAUGAAAAUCAUAUGGCCUUAUCGGCCUAUGUUCAGUGUAUGAGUUAUCACUUUGGUUUUAUAGGCACGUAUGUCACAUGUAUAAGUUUUCAUGUCAUGUCAGGUCGUCCAAUAUUUAGUAUUCCCUUAUAUUUUAUUUUUGUUAUCUCAUGACGACCUUUCUAGG
rnacentral:lncRNA from 1 species